UACGUAGGGUGCGAGCGUUGUUCGGAAUCACUGGGCGUAAAGGGCGUGUAGGCGGUCCGCUAAGUCUGAUGUGAAAGCCCGGGGCUCACCCCCGGAAGGGCAUUGGAAACUGCCGUGACUCGAGUCCGGUAGGGGAGUGUGGAAUUCCCGGUGUAGCGGUGAAAUGCGCAGAUAUCGGGAGGAACACCAGUGGCGAAGGCGGCACUCUGGGCCGGUACUGACGCUGAGGAGCGAAAGCGUGGGGAGCGAACAGG
rnacentral:rRNA from 1 species